rnacentral:sRNA from 1 species
UCCCAGGCAAUGCUGCUCAGAUUCGAGUAGAAAUCUCAUCAGUCUCUUGCCAUUUAGGUAAAUUUAGCCCUGACAGAUGAUAUGGAA